GUAGCAUACACCCAUUACAAGUGAGAUUAAAUACUAAAAAGAAGAUUGGCAUGGCCCCUGCGCAAGGAUGACACACACAAAUAAAAAAAUGGUCCUAAUUUUU
rnacentral:snRNA from 1 species